rnacentral:rRNA from 1 species
UACGGAGGAUGCGAGCGUUAUCCGGAUUUAUUGGGCUUAAAGGGUGCGUAGGCGGGCCGGUAAGUCAGCGGUGAAAUCCCAUGGCUCAACCAUGGAAUUGCCGUUGAAACUGUCGGUCUUGAAUAUGGUCAAGGUAGGCGGAAUGCGUAAUGUAGCGGUGAAAUGCUUAGAUAUUACGCGGAACACCUAUUGCGAAGGCAGCUUGCUGGGCCAGUAUUGACGCUGAGGCACGAAAGCGUGGGGAGCGAACAGGAUUAGAUA